rnacentral:lncRNA from 1 species
AGAUAUUGUCCCUUUAUCUCCUCAGAGAUCCCAUUUCAUGCUGAAGGCAGGCACCCCUGUUCCUUAAUGGGCAAGAAUUUCCGCUCCUACUUGCUAGAUCUUCGAAACACUAGUACUCCUUUCAAGGGUGUGCGGAAGGCCCUUAUCGAUACCCUGCUGGAUGGCUACGAGACAGCCCGCUACGGGACAGGGGUGAGCUGAAUGGCCAGUUUUUCCUUCAAGUAUCUAAAGGGAUAUGCCAGACUGAGAGAUCCUCAUCUUUUCUCUUUCCUAAGGUGUUUGGCCAGAGUGAGUACCUGCGCUAUCAAGAGGCCCUGAGUGAGCUGGCCACUGUGUGAGUUUGGAGGGGAACAUGUCAAAGGGAGCUGGUUAGAGAAUAUCAGAAGUAUUAGAAGUACUGGACUAUUCCUAAUAUUUAUGCAGUAGCUUUCAUAAAGCAGUAUGAAUGAAUAUCCAUGAUACCAUAAGACUAUUAGAAUUGCCUCUUGCCAAAUUAGAAAGAAGAUGCUACCAUAUAAUAAGAGAAUUUUUUUACUUUAUGUGCAUCUUUUUCUUUUUUUUUCCAGCCCAAUUAAAUGUCAAAAUUGGCAGAACCUAAUGAAGCAUUAAAUGCCACCCAUUUUUAUUACUACUUAAAGCAUUAUAACCUUAUCCGAAACAAAGGUUACCACGAGAGAGUCAGUUUGGGGGUUUUUGUUUGUUUACUUAUUCGUUUUGUUAUUGUUGUUGUUGUUUUGGUACCUGGGAUUGAACUUCAGGGGUGAUUAACCACUGAAUCACAUCCCCAGCCCUUUUUUGUUUUAUUUUGAGACAGGAUCUCACUUAGGACCUAGCUAAGUGGCUAAGACUGACUUUGAACUUGGAAUCCUGCCUCUACCUCUGAAGCCACUGGGAUUACAGGCACGCACCACUGCCCCUGGCGAGGGUCAUGACUUCUGUUUGGGAAUCAUGAUUUUCAUUAACGUGUUAGGAUGUUAACAGGAUAUUACACUUGAUAAUAAUAUCCUAAGAUAUGAAGAUAUUACCUAAGAGAAGGAAGAGGAGUCAUGACUUCUGUUUGAGAAUGUUUUAAAUAUGUACUCAACAUAGUUUCAUUAUGUUGUUUAUGCAUAUGUUUGGUGAAAAAAAAAGAAGGCCAAUUUAGAAUUAAAAACUAGUUACCAUCCAUGAAAAGAAUACAUCUGUUUUCUGUUGUGUUUGGCAUGACUUUCUCAAGACAUAAGGAGUAUGUCUAUUCUGUCUUCUCUCCGUUCUAAAAAUGAACUAUGCUGGGAUUUUUUGGUUGUUUUUGUUUUCUUUUUGGUACUAGGAGUUGAACCCAGGGGUGCUCUACCACUGAGCUAUACCCCUGUUUUUAUUUGGGGAAAGGUUCUCACCAAGUUGCCCAGCGGUCCUCAAACUUGGGAUCCUUCUGCCUCAGCCUUGUGAGUAGCUGGGGUUAGAAGCAUGUGCUACCACACCUAGCCUGAACUACCUUGUUCUCAAAGAAAGGUGCGGUGAAAACUUUUGAUUAGAGCAGUAAUGAAAAUGAUCACCACCAGGUGUAAUCCCAGCAGCUGGAGGCAGAGGCAGGAAGAUUGCAAGUUGAAAGCCAGCCUCAGCAACGUAGUGAUGCCCUAAGCAACUUAGUGAGACCCUGACUCUAAAUAAAAUAUAAAAAGGGCUGGGGAUGUAGCUCAGUGGUUAAGCACCCCUGGGUUCAAUCCCUGGUACCAAAGAAAAAGGCAGCAACAAGCUGGAAAAAAAUGUUUGGAGUUAGGCAGGAAAUCUGUUUUAAAAUCUUCUGGAAGAUAAAUACAAAUUCCACUUGUAUAGGAUUCCUAGGAAGUCAAAUUCAGAGACAGAAAGUAGAAUGGUGGUUGCCAGGCGUUGGGGAAAGGGGAAAAGAAAACUAGUUUAAUGAGCAUAGACUUGCAAGAUGAAAAGUGUUAAUUGGAGGUUAGUCGUGCAAUAUUGUGAAUGUACUUGAAGCUACUGAAAUAUGUUUUCAAAUGGUUAAAUGAUAAGUUUUAUGCAUAUAUUAUUACAGUUUUUUUUAAAUUUUUUAUUUUGGCUUCUAGAAAGCUUCAGUUGGUAUAGUAAAAAGAAUAUAGGCUUUGCAGUCUGACAACCUUAGGUUCAAAUACCCAGUCUGUCAUUUAAUAGCUUUGUGACCUCAUACAGGUUAAUUAUUGGACCCUCCAUUUCUUAACCUGCACAACUAGGCAAUACAAAAAUAUAGAGGGUGAUGUUAGUAAAUUAGAUGUAAACCACCAAGUGUAAUGUACUAACAUGUCAAGUACCCAAUAGCUGCUUCUGUUCUUAUUUUUUGAUAUUUAGCUUUCAGGGGACUUUCUUUAGAUUAGGAAUAUGUUCACUACAUAUACACAUUAGGUGAAAUAAGUAAAAUUAAAAGUUUUCUUUAGGGCUGAGGCCCAGAGGCAGAGAGCUUGCCUAGCAUGUGUGAGGCACUGGGUUCGAUCCUCAGCACCACAUAAAAAUAAACAAGUAAAAUAAAGGCAUGCUGUCCAUCUACAACUACAAAAAAAAAAAAAGAACGAACUUUUUUUUUUCUUUUUUAGUUAAACAUGGUGUCAGGAAGAAAAAAAAUUGAGCCAGAACUCAGUAGGAAAUUGGUUUCUUUGCUACUUCUUACCUUCUUUGUUUUUUAAUGACACUGAAGAUUAAACUCAUGGGUACUCUACUGCUAUGCUACAUCCCCAGCCCUUUUUGAAAUUUUUUUAUUUUGAGACAGAGUCUUGCAAAGUUGCCAAGGUUGGCCCCACUUGUGAUCCUCCUGUGUUAGCCUCCUGAAUGUAACUACAGGUGUGAACUACCACAUUUUACUGGUUUCUUUAUUUCUAAGCUCUCAGAUAGGCUUUUAGUAACUAGUUUAUAAGAUAGGUCAGAGACCAUUUGUGGCUACAUUUAUGGGAAAGGAAAGGACCUGAAUUGUAUUCUUCUGCUAGUCCUCAUUCUGUCCAUAACCUCCCCUCUUUGUAUUCUUUAGGGUCAAAGCACGAGUUGGGAGCUCUCAGCGACAGCACCAGUCAGCAGCCAAAGACCUAACUCAGUCCCCUGAAGUCUCCCCAACUACUAUCCAGGUGACAUACCUUCCCUCCAGUCAGAAGAGUAAACGUGCCAAGCAUUUCCUCGAAUUGAAGAGCUUUAAGGAUAACUAUAACACAUUGGAGAGCACUCUGUGAUGGAGCUGAAGGACUCUCGCUGCAGACUGAGCCAGACAUCUGUGAUGUCUACUGGGCAGCCCUCAGGAAAUCUGGCUCAGCAGGCCCAGGCUGUUUUAGCCAAAGCUCCUGCUGUGUCCAGGGUUCUUAGAGCUUGUGUCUGAAAGGUCAUUCCCCAACUUUUUCUUACAGGCAUUUUCAGAAUAUCAGAUAAGAUUUUAUUUUCCCCUCAGUAGAAUUUUUUUUUUUUCUUCUGUGUUUGAAUUCAGAUGUCAUUCUUAUUUCUGUCACAAGUUUUCUUAAAAAUCUUCACUUGUUUUUGGCCAUAGUCCACCUAUUUAAUCCCAAAGGUGAAAAGUAAGGUAUCUUCCAUGUCUGUCCCAUUGUUCUCAAUUGAGUGGGAACUGCUUGGUUUUAGGGUGUCUUGGAGUUGUUUAGUGGAAGAGGUGGGCAGGAUCAGGGGUGGGGUGAGGAAGUGUGUGGUAUGUGUAACAACUUACCCUGAAACUCCAUUUAAAUCAGGAUGUGUUGAAACAUUAACACAACUUUCCUCGUGUGCACUGAUCUGCCUUUCCACCUUCAUUCAACCCUCUUUAUAAAUAAAUGAACAAAAGGGAAUGUUCUGACACCUGGAAUAAUCUAUGCCGAGAUGCAAGAUGAUAUGGAGGAAUGGUUUCCCCUAAUAAGGCAGUGUACUGGUAUGGUUUUAUGGAUUAGUUAUUUAAUAAAAUGAACCAUUAAAAAACAGAACAUA